UAAAAGAAAAAUGGGUGACAUUAGCUAAUUAUUGAUCCCAACUCACUGGAGUUGUUCUUCUCUUAUCUACCUUUUGUGCUUCUGUUCUAUAUCUUAUAUCCUAUAUAGUGCCAAACACUGCACUCGUAGGCCUAAAUUUGUUCAAUAUAUAAAUGUGCAGAGUUUUGAAGCUUUGAACCCCAGAGCCGUUGCUGUUGUGAUAGACCCCAUCCAGAAGAGGACGAUCGAUUUUCGAUUUUGUAGGAGAGCUGUUAAACCUCUCCGGCUUCGCCACUUUCGUUUCCGUUUCUGCGCUUUGUUUGGUGCCGAAUUUUCUGCACAUUUUACCAAUUCUGAACGAAAAUUCCCUUUCUGUUUUGCCGACUGUAGGGCUGUUGAAUCCGUAUGGGCUAUGGUCGCCGAGGCACUCGCAGUCGGACGUGUCUUCAUCGGAGAUGGAGUUUGGUACAGCGCGCCAGUACGACACCACCGACCUUGAUGAAGCACUUCAAAGAGAGGUAAGUGCUUGAGGCUGGCUGCAUAAUAGCAGGUUUGUUUUCAUUUUUCAAACACAAACAUGUAUCCUUUUUGAAGCAAACACAUUUGAUCGAUGUCUUGUGUGGGUAUCAUGCACUUUUUGCGUGGGUUCCACCUCCACUGCGCGGGCUGUAUAUAGAGCCGCCCACCUGCCCCACACCAUGUCGUCACCGAGUUGUGAGUGGGGCAUCCGUCGCCUCUAAUCCAAAUAAGGAGGAGCUGCGGCCAGACAUGGGCGGCAGAGUAGUAUCUGGAUCCGCUGAACACCCACCGGUGGUAUCUAGCUUUCCUAUCAAUCAGUGGCUUUCAAAGCUGAUGUUCUUGCUGCUGCCAACACAACAACAGAAGUUGCAAUGAGGCUUGUGAGACCUGAGACGAAGUGUCUAGGAUGAAGUUUCAGAUAUGUCAGCUGAUUUCAGUUUCAGAGCUGCAGAUUUUAGUUUCAAAGCUGCAGAUUUCAGUACUAGAGCUGCCAAAUUUCAGUUUUAGAGUUGCAAAUUCCAUUUUUAGAGCUACACUAUGAAUCCACACUUGAUUCUAUUUUCUUUUCAAUUUCAGAGCUGCAAGAUUUCUACAGAAUGUGAAGACUAUGCUAUCAAAAAAAGCUUUUCUAAUUUACCUAGGAUGAAGUUCAGGAUUGUUUAGGAUGAAUCAUGUGUUUAUCUAUCUUCAAUAAUAUUUGUACACGCAUUAAGCGGUGAUUAUUUUA